rnacentral:misc_RNA from 1 species
GUUCUUGUGUGGGAUGUUGAUGGAGGCUUCUGCACUCAUUAUUUCAAAGGUCACAAGGGGGUUGUCACCAGCAUUAUGUUUCAUCCUGACCCGAAUAGGCUGCUGGUGUUCUCUGGUGGUGAUGAUGGUUCUGUAAGGGUCUGGGAUCUGAUAGGGAAGAAAUGUCUGUCAACACUAGAGAAACAUCAAUCAGCUAUCACUUCCAUGGCAAUAUCUGAAGACGGAUGGACUUUGCUUAGCGCAGGGAGAGACAAGGUUGUAAAUUU